GGAGAGUUGUCCGAGCUGGUCGAAGGAGCACGAUUGGAAAUCGUGUAAACGGCCAAAACCGUUUCGUGGGUUCGAAUCCCAUGCUCUCCGCCA
rnacentral:tRNA from 1 species